GGCCCAGAGAAUAAUAGCCAACACUUAACAUGACGCCCACGAUGUGCAGGCACUGUUCUAAGCAUUUUACAUAUGUAAACUGGUUAAUCCUCAUCACAACUCCAUGAGGAAAAAACCUUUGAUAAGAAGUUAAUGCAGCCUGGGCAACAUGGUUUCCUGGUUGAAGGAUUAAUUAUCUGCUACCUGAUCUAAAGUUGAUAAAUGAAAAACAUCAGUAUUAACACAUGACAUGGAAAAAACACCAGAGGAGAAAAAACCACCAAAGGAAGAAAAACAAAAACUGUGAACAGUGAUGUCUCACCGGGGGUGGGAGCACAGCAGCAGACAUUUGUCAAAACUCACCCAACUCUAUAAUUUAAAUGUGUACAUUUUAUGGUAUAUAAAUGAUUCCUCAAUAAAGUUGAUUAAUCCAAAUAUAGUGGCCUUCAGAGAUGGCAGGGGUGAGUGAGAA
rnacentral:lncRNA from 10 species